AGCACGUUAUGGUGGGCACUCUAAGGAGACUGCCGGUGACAAACCGGAGGAAGGUGGGGAUGACGUCAAGUCAUCAUGGCCCUUACGGCCUGGGCUACACACGUGCUACAAUGGUCGGUACAAAGGGUUGCCAAGCCGCGAGGUGGAGCUAAUCCCAUAAAACCGAUCGUAGUCCGGAUCGCAGUCUGCAACUCGACUGCGUGAAGUCGGAAUCGCUAGUAAUCGUGAAUCAGAAUGUCACGGUGAAUACCGUUCCCGGGCCUU
rnacentral:rRNA from 1 species